GACGUAGGGCGCGAGCGUUGUCCGGAUUUAUUGGGCGUAAAGAGCUCGUAGGCGGCUUGUCGCGUCGACUGUGAAAACCCGCGGCUCAACCUCGGGCCUGCAGUGGGUACGGGCAAACUAGAGUGCGGUAGGGGAGAAUGGAAUUCCUGGUGUAGCGGUGGAAUGCGCAGAUAUCAGGAGGAACACCGAUGGCGAAGGCAGUUCUCUGGGCCGUAACUGACGCUGAGGAGCGAAAGCGUGGGGAGCGAACAGG
rnacentral:rRNA from 1 species